GACGAGCCGUACGAACGUUAUUCGGAAUCACUGGGCUUAAAGGGUGCGUAGGCGGCGCUGAAAGUUGGGUGUGAAAUCCCUCGGCUCAACCGAGGAACUGCAUUCAAAACUGCAGUGCUUGAGGGAGACAGAGGUGAGCGGAACUUAGGGUGGAGCGGUGAAAUGCGUUGAUAUCCUAAGGAACACCCGUGGCGAAAGCGGCUCACUGGGUCUCUUCUGACGCUGAGGCACGAAAGCUAGGGGAGCGAACGGG
rnacentral:rRNA from 1 species